rnacentral:rRNA from 1 species
CGUGCUUAACACAUGCAAGUCGAACGGAAAGGCCCUGCUUGCAGGGUACUCGAGUGGCGAACGGGUGAGUAACACGUGGGUGAUCUGCCCUGCACUUCGGGAUAAGCUUGGGAAACUGGGUCUAAUACCGGAUAGGARCCAUCUUUAGUGUGGUGGUUGGAAAGUUUUUUCGGUGUAGGAUGAGCYCGCGGCCUAUCAGCUUGUUGGUGGGGUAAUGGCCUACCAAGGCGGCGACGGGUAGCCGGCCUGAGAGGGUGUACGGCCACAUUGGGACUGAGAUACGGCCCAGACUCCUACGGGAGGCAGCAGUGGGGAAUAUUGCACAAUGGGCGCAAGCCUGAUGCAGCGACGCCGCGUGGGGGAUGAAGGCCUUCGGGUUGUAAACUCCUUUCGCUAGGGACGAAGCUUUUUGUGACGGUACCUAGAUAAGAAGCACCGGCUAACUACGUGCCAGCAGCCGCGGUAAUACGUAGGGUGCGAGCGUUGUCCGGAAUUACUGGGCGUAAAGGGCUCGUAGGUGGUUUGUCGCGUCGUCUGUGAAAUUCUGGGGCUUAACUCCGGGCGUGCAGGCGAUACGGGCAUAACUUGAGUGCUGUAGGGGUAACUGGAAUUCCUGGUGUAGCGGUGAAAUGCGCAGAUAUCAGGAGGAACACCGAUGGCGAAGGCAGGUUACUGGGCAGUUACUGACGCUGAGGAGCGAAAGCAUGGGUAGCGAACAGGAUUAGAUACCCU